GAGCCAGAUUCUAUUAGUGUCUACUGCAACUUCAGUCACUGUUUACAAGUUUAUGAUAUAUUGAAGGGAGAGUUGGGGAUGACAUCCCCCGUGGAUUUCAGAGUUCAGGGACAUGGUGCUGUGCUUAGACGGUGACAUAAUUUCCUCAUUGCUCACUUUCACUUUCAUUUUUGGACAUGAUUCAGUGACAGAUAAAAGAGCUAGGUUCAGCAGCUUGCUUUAAGGCACAUUUGGUGAAUUCUUAAUCAUAAUGAAAUUGGGCAUGGUAUUUAAUGGUUGCCCUUUACUUAGUGCUCUUUCAGUUGUCAUUUCGACAAAAUAGGACACCAGUGUAAAAUUAUUUCAGCUGUUCUCAAAUUUAUUUACAGGAUUUUGUCAAAGCAGGAAUAUUUUGACUGUAAAGAAAAGAUAUUUGGUAAAAUGUGUUUUUACAUGAAACACACUCAAGUUUUAAAUUUUUGAUAACAGAAUUAAAGAAAUGGAGAACAUUUCAUGUUGAAUUUCAUCAAUUUCUAUUAUUUAUUGGCUGUAUAAUUAUAAAUAUUUAUUAUCUUCUCUUUGUGUGGAUUUUUAAAUAAUCUGUCGGGUUGUUGUUUUUACAUUGUAUGUUAACUUUAUAUUUAUACAUUUAUUAUUGAUUUAUUUGUAGUUAUUUCACAUUGAAUGAAUACAGUGUUCCAAAAGAGCAAUUCAAUAAAGCCUCUGGUGACUACGUAUGUCUUUACUUAUACAAUGUCAGGUUUAUUACCAUUUUCACAUUUAUUUAAUUUGAACACUUUACUAUUUAUUACACUUUCAUCAUAGCUUGGCACUAGUUAGAAAUUUGUCUGAUGAUUUUGUUAAAAUUGUUGCUCAAAAAGCAAAGGUCAAAAUAAAUUAAAGAAAGUGUUUUUU